rnacentral:rRNA from 1 species
UGGGGAAUAUUGGACAAUGGGGGGCAACCCUGAUCCAGCAAUGCCGCGUGUGUGAAGAAGGUUUUCGGAUUGUAAAGCACUUUCGACGGGGACGAUGAUGACGGUACCCGUAGAAGAAGCCCCGGCUAACUUCGUGCCAGCAGCCGCGGUAAUACGAAGGGGGCUAGCGUUGCUCGGAAUGACUGGGCGUAAAGGGCGUGUAGGCGGUUUGUACAGUCAGAUGUGAAAUCCCCGGGCUUAACCUGGGAGCUGCAUUUGAUACGUGCAGACUAGAGUGUGAGAGAGGGUUGUGAAAUUCCCAGUGUAGAGGUGAAAUUCGUAGAUAUUGGGAAGAACACCGGUGGCGAAGGCGGCAACCUGGCUCAUAACUGACGCUGAGGCGCGAAAGCGUGGG